rnacentral:rRNA from 1 species
GACGAACGCUGGCGGCGUGCCUAAUACAUGCAAGUAGAACGCUGAAGGAGGAGCUUGCUUCUCUGGAUGAGUUGCGAACGGGUGAGUAACGCGUAGGUAACCUGCCUGGUAGCGGGGGAUAACUAUUGGAAACGAUAGCUAAUACCGCAUAAGAGUAGAUGUUGCAUGACAUUUGCUUAAAAGGUGCAAUUGCAUCACUACCAGAUGGACCUGCGUUGUAUUAGCUAGUUGGUGGGGUAACGGCUCACCAAGGCGACGAUACAUAGCCGACCUGAGAGGGGGAUCGGCCACACUGGGACUGAGACACGGCCCAGACUCCUACGGGAGGCAGCAGUAGGGAAUCUUCGGCAAUGGACGGAAGUCUGACCGAGCAACGCCGCGUGAGUGAAGAAGGGUUUCGGAUCGUAAAGCUCUGUUGUAAAAGAAGAACGAGUGUGAGAGUGGAAAGUUCACACUGUGACGGUAUCUUACCAGAAAGGGACGGCUAACUACGUG